rnacentral:misc_RNA from 1 species
GUAGGUGAACCUGCGGAAGGAUCAUUAACGCGUGUCCCACGUAUCAAACCAAAACCGUGAACUGUGAACGUAUAUCCGGGAUGAGUUAAAUGGCGUCGGUAGUAGAGUCCAGGGAUGACUUACCUCGGUAGGUGUACUCUGGGUUCCGCACAUUCGGCUCAGACCGUUAACCAAAACCAUUAUUCAUUAUUAUUAUCGUCUCAAGAACUGUCGUGCUGACUACUAGAGAAUUGUGCGUAGCUUGUUUCGG